AUGCCAACUUCCCUGUUCUUUCUUCUUUUUGUUGUUCUUGGAGGCCUGGUACCUCGUUUCAUCCCAGAUCGAGGGGCCUCACCGCGCCUGCCUGGUGAACGCCUCGGGCUGGUGCGUGAGGUUGAGGCUACGCGACCACGUACCGGCAGGAGACCUGUGCCGCCGUGCCACUUUGCAGAGGCGUGGACUACCGCCGGUUCGGUGUUUCUCGCGGGCGAGCCCAUCGUGAAAAUCGCUCCGCUGGAGAGCGACGGCGCUGGCCAGGGGCUGCCCUUCGGGACGUCGCCGGCCUCUUCCGCGUCGAGGCCGAUGGAAUCGCUCCGCCGGGAGCGUGCUGAUAACGUGUUGUAA
rnacentral:rRNA from 1 species